GUAGGUGGCAAGCGUUGUCCGGAAUUAUUGGGCGUAAAGCGCGCGCAGGCGGUCCUUUAAGUCUGAUGUGAAAGCCCACGGGCUCAACCGUGGAGGGUCAUUGGAAACUGGGGGACUUGAGUACAGAAGAGGAAAGCGGAAUUCCACGUGUAGCGGUGAAAUGCGUAGAGAUGUGGAGGAACACCAGUGGCGAAGGCGGCUUUCUGGUCUGUAACUGACGCUGAGGCGCGAAAGCGUGGGGAGCAAACAGGAUUAGAUACCCUGGUAGUCCACGCCGUAAACGAUGAGUGCUAAGUGUUAGGGGGUUUCCGCCCCUUAGUGCUGCAGCUAACGCAUUAAGCACUCCGCCUGGGGAGUACGGCCGCAAAGGCUG
rnacentral:rRNA from 1 species